rnacentral:rRNA from 1 species
AACGAGCGCAACCCUCGUCGCCAGUUACACGUUGUCUGGCGAGACUGCCCGUAGAAAGCGGGAGGAAGGUGGGGAUGACGUCAAGUCAGCAUGGCCUUGAUGUCCAGGGCGACACACACGCUACAAUGGCCGGUACAAUGGGGCGCCAACCCGCGAGGGGGAGCCAAUCCGCCAAAGCCGGUCUCAGUUCGGAUUGCAGGCUGCAACCCGCCUGCAUGAAGUCGGAGUUGCUAGUAACCGCAGGUCAGCCAUACUGCGGUGAAUACGUUCCCGGGCCUUGUACACACCGCCCGUCACGUCAUGGGAGCUGGUCACGCCUGAAGUCGAGUGGGCUAACCGCAAGGAGGCAGCCGCCAAAGGCAGGGCUGGUGACUGGGACGAAGUCGUAACAAGGUAGCUGUAGCGGAAGCUGCGGCUGGAUCACCUCCUU